GGGGGUGUUCUGGCUUCGACGGGGGUAGUGCGAUUGCCUGGUGCAUGCCGAGGGGGCAGCUUUCCUCGUUAAUCCAGCAGCAAACUUAUAGUUGCCAACGACGACAACUACGCUCUCGCCGCUUAAGGCGUAAGCCCCGAACCGACUUGUGCUCGUGCUCGUCGGUGUAGGGUCACUAUCACGAGAUCGUCAAUGGCUGUCGCCUCUCAGCCUACGACUAGAUCUAACAGGCUGGUUUGUCGGCGCGCUUAGCACGCCGUGCUGUCGGCAAACGAGAUCCAACGGUGAGCUAAGCAUGUAGAUCCGGGGAUUAAACGCCUUCGGACGCGGGUUCGACUCCCGCCACCUCCACCA
rfam:Luteibacter sp. TNCMF366Tsu5.1 genome assembly, contig: FG06DRAFT_scaffold00001.1